UACGGGGGGGGGGCAAGCGUUGUUCGGAAUUACUGGGCGUAAAGGGCUCGUAGGCGGCCAACUAAGUCAGACGUGAAAUCCCUCGGCUUAACCGGGGGAACUGCAUCUGAUACUGGAUGGCUUGAGUUCGGGAGAGGGAUGUGGAAUUCCAGGUGUAGCGGUGAAAUGCGUAGAUAUCUGGAGGAACACCGGUGGCGAAGGCGGCAUCCUGGACCGGUAUUGACGCUGAGGAGCGAAAGCCAGGGGAGCAAACGGG
rnacentral:rRNA from 1 species